rnacentral:rRNA from 1 species
UACGGAGGGUGCUAGCGUUGUUCGGAAUCACUGGGCGUAAAGCGCGUGUAGGCGGCCGGCUAAGUCUGGUGUGAAAUCCCGGGGCUCACCCCCGGAAGUGCACUGGAAACUGACUGGCUCGAGUCCCGGAGAGGAGGGUGGAAUUCCUGGUGUAGCGGUGAAAUGCGUAGAUAUCAGGAGGAACACCGGUGGCGAAGGCGGCCCUCUGGACGGUGACUGACGCUGAGACGCGAAAGCGUGGGUAGCAAACAGG